rnacentral:lncRNA from 1 species
AUGCGCAGAGGCCGCGGCGGGCUGCCGGCCUGGAAGAGCGAGGUUGGGGCGAGAAGCCGCCGGGACCCAUAACUGGGUCGGCGGUCCGAGCCCCGCCUGCCAGCGCCCGCGGCCUCAAGGGCCGGGUAGGAGCGGCAGGGCGCCGGCGAAAGGCGGGGCGGGGGCGGCGCGGGCGGCGGGGGCGCCGCGUACCUGGUAGCGGCCAGUGAGCAGCUGGCUCCGCGACGGCGUGCACAGCGGCUGCGUGUAGUAGUUGUCCAGGAGCACCCCGCCGGCCGCCAGCGCGUCCAGGUGCGGCGUGCGGAUGCGGGAGCCGUGGAAGCCGACGUCGUUCCAGCCUAGGUCGUCUGCCAGCAAGAAGACCAGGUGGGGCGGCCGGCUGGCCCCGGCGCCCGAGCCCGGCGGCGCCAACAACAGCAGCAGCAGCAGCGGGAGGACGACGGGGAGGAGCAGCCGCCGAGGUCCGGGGCCUCGGGGCAAGCUCGCCGCGCCGCGCGGACCCAUCCUUGUCCGCCCGCGGUCCCAGCGCCUGUGGCGCCACCAGCCCCUUGUACCGCUGAUAGAAUGAGGAACUGGGCUGCCGGGGCCUGCUCCGCCCCGGCGCGGGACGGCACCCCCAGCGGGCCGUGGGCUUGCGAGGCCGGGCGCUCGGCCCCCGCCGCCUCCGACCCGGGCCCCCGGCUGCUGUGGCGGAGGAGGAGCCAGAGACGAACCCGCGGGCGCCCGCUGCCCGGCUUCUUGGAAACUCAGCUGACGCUUGGAGGGCACCAAGGCCCGUUAUCUUCCCCGGCAAUUAAAUUUGCACUGUGGUUUCCUAAAAAAAAAAGAUGUGUUCUUUAAUAACGCUUCACAAUUUACAAAGCAUCUUCACAGCCCGCGUCUCCUGUAAAGCCUGCAACAACUCUGACAGUUAGACAUUAUAAUUAGUGCCAAUUUUUCAUAAGAAAAAAGCUUAUAAAUGGUUAAACCUCUGACUCAGAUCCUGAACCAUGAUGUCUAGCUAGCAAGUCAUUUCUAGCACAAGAGCCCAGCCUGUGGCAGGUGGGAGGACGGUGAAAAGGCAGAGGUCUAAAUAGCCUUUCACAUUCAUUUAUGCGUAGUGUACACCCAUGAAGCCGCUUCCUCCCCACUAGCAAACAGGAGGCCAAACACACAGUCUGAUUGCACGGUGCCCUUUGGAAGGUGCGGUUACUUUCAAGUUGCCCUGGGAGGAUUUGGAGUGUUGCGUGGUCAUUGAAUAAAUAGCUCAUUCGCUUGUCCGGAUAUGACCCCACUCAGAGCUGGCUCCCCCACUAAGCAGUGACACUAAGAAGCACACAGUAUCUAGUUAGCCUGAAAUAUCUGAGUGGAAGGAAAAAAUCCUUUAGUCACGUGCUUAUUGAAUUAGGAAGUUAGCCGUAUGACCAGUAGAUUCCCGUUGCCAUCCAGACUUUCUGUCUACUCUGUCUGGAGAUAUUAUAGUUGUUAACAGGUGUAGGGGAAAAUUUUUGCAUUGCCUAGAGACCAUACCCUUCCAGGUUGAGUCUGAUUCCGUGGAAGUUGUUUACAACUUUAUAAGUUAUAGAUAAAUAACAAUGGAAAAUAAUUCUUAUUUAUAUAUACACAAAUGAACUUUAUCCAGCGGAGUAGCAAUCCUUCCCCUCCACCACUACCAAGGAAAACAGUUUCACCUCCGCUUGCAUAUUUAUUUUAGUAUUCCUGAUCUGUUCUUUGGAUUGUCCUUUGAAUUGGUUUUAACACCUUACCAAUUUCCUUAUUAAUGAGUUAAAUAAAAUCAUGUAUUCACUUUUAUAUUUGUAUGAGGGUCAUGAUUUUACCUUUUUUUCCCCAAGAAUCCUUUAACACAUGAAAUGUUUGCCUCUUACAUACACUUUUUUUCUUUGCAUGAAGUAGAUUAGUUUAUGUUGUAUGCACUUUAAUCUCUAGUGGAAUCAAUGAAAUUUAGCAGAAAAAAGUGAAAAUUUUAGCAUUAAAUUCAA